AGCACACCAGUGUGGGAGACAUGAAGACGGCAUCUAGCACAGGGAGCAGGAGAACUGGAAGAGAAGCAGGUCUGGAAAUUUACAGCUGCUGAGUAAUGGUGCUUCUUCCCAUCUGUAGAUCUCAGAGCACUUUACAGAAGAGACAACCUACUGCACCUGCACAAUGCAAGUACAUCCAGCAUCUCCUGUGUGGAGCACAUCCUUCAGCAGGCAACCACAGGGUGCACCUCUGAACCUCUGCCAAGCACCUGGGCAGUGCUACAGGACCUGCAAACUUCCCUGUGCUGUGUCCAUCCAGCCAAACGGUUUACGUCUGCUUUGCAUCACCGGAGAAAGGAAACCAGUCGUUGCAAGCCAGAGGUCUCCUUGAUCAAGGUAAAAAGAGCACACAGGCCAUGGGCUGAAGCAUGCUUCUGGGGAGAGGACGGCAAACUAGGGGAUAAUAAAGCUGAAAAGCAUCAUG